rnacentral:lncRNA from 1 species
UAACCAGAUUUCAUCCAAGCUUCUACGAUGGUCGACCACCUUCUGAAUUCCAUCUGAGCUCCUACGAGAAACGGAUUUCAGCCGAACUCCUACUACGAGCAGUCUACUACGGAUCUCUACUGCAAGCGAAUUCCAUCCAAGCUUCUACUGUAAAUAAUUUUUUUCCAAACUUCUAUCACAGGCAGACUUCAGCCGAGCUCCUACAGUGGACGGAUCCCAGACGAGCUUCUACAACAGGAUAGGCUCCACCA